CUGAUACUACAUUUGUUGUUGUUAUUUUUGCUCAUUUUACCGAAGAAACCAUCUACAAUCUCGUAUAAUUAAUAGCUGCGCUUUAUUUUAUCGACCUGCCUGAAAGCAAUUGUCGCCUGGAAAUCGCUUGGUUGCCACGCAAAAUGGAGCGCGAGAUGGGUUGAAUGAGGGGCAAAAGAGGGCAAGCAACUUGAACUGUAGCAAAAUAAA